GAUGAACGCUGGCGGCGUGCCUAAUACAUGCAAGUCGAGCGAACAGACGAGGAGCUUGCUCCUCUGACGUUAGCGGCGGACGGGUGAGUAACACGUGGAUAACCUACCUAUAAGACUGGGAUAACUUCGGGAAACCGGAGCUAAUACCGGAUAAUAUAUUGAACCGCAUGGUUCAAUAGUGAAAGACGGUCUUGCUGUCACUUAUAGAUGGAUCCGCGCUGCAUUAGCUAGUUGGUAAGGUAACGGCUUACCAAGGCAACGAUGCGUAGCCGACCUGAGAGGGUGAUCGGCCACACUGGAACUGAGACACGGUCCAGACUCCUACGGGAGGCAGCAGUAGGGAAUCUUCCGCAAUGGGCGAAAGCCUGACGGAGCAACGCCGCGUGAGUGAUGAAGGUCUUCGGAUCGUAAAACUCUGUUAUUAGGGAAGAACAAAUGUGUAAGUAACUGUGCACAUCUUGACGGUACCUAAUCAGAAAGCCACGGCUAACUACGUG
rnacentral:rRNA from 1 species